rnacentral:lncRNA from 1 species
UAUCACCGACUUCAGCGUCUUCUUCUUCUUCAAGUACCUGCUAGCUUUACCGUUUCUUGUAUACAGGGUGGAUUUUUUUUCUGCAAAUAAAACUUCAUCUUGUUACCAAAACAAAUAAAGAAAUCUAGUUUCUUUGUUUUUUUUUUCUUCAUUGAGAUUUGUUUAAUCAACAUCAAUGUCGAGUUGCAUACAGUUCCCUUCUCCCGGGUAUGCGUGGAAGGGAGCGAGCGGCGAGGUCUUAAUUAAACUGAUGAAGGUUUGUCUUUGCAAUUUAUUUUAUUAAUUUUUUUUUUUUACUGAACAUUGUGGAUGAUGGGGUUUUUUUUUUUUCUUUAUUAGUGUUUGAGAAGAUUAGAGAAAUGGACAGUCUUUCUGUUUGAGGUUUCUUGAUUGUGUUCUUUGUUUAGAUAUUCGAUCGUACUGUUGUUCUUGCUAGUUAUUUUAUUUCUUUCCCUGCAGAUUGUAGAUUGGUGGAUUGUUUUUUAUUAUUCGUUAUCUUUUAAUGAGAUUAGAAAAAAAAAAGGGUAUUCAUCUGUUGAUGACUGAUCUUGAGGUUUCUUGAUUGUAUUCCUUUUUUUUUUUUGAAAUAAUUCUUGAUUGUGUUCUUUAUUUAGUUAUCUGACGAUACUGCUCUUGUUCUUACUGUAAAUUAAUGAACGGAAAAUCACCAUAAUAUCAUUGAUUAUGAACGAAUACAAAAAAGACUUUUACAUCAGGACAAAAAAGAAAAAGCUGAGGCAGAAAGGGUAAGGGAGGAGAAGAGAAGAAGGUUAAAAGAGAUGGAAGAAGAAUUGGAGGAAGGAGAGGUUAGAGAGGACAAACGCCACAGAAGGCAUAGCCAUGAGUGCAGUAAGAAGGAAAUUCAAGAAAGAUAUGACAAUGGAGGGAAAAAGAAGGAUGAGAUCCUAGAAAUGGAUAGAAGCAACC